GCCAGCUAGAACGGACUAUCGGUGUUGCCUUUAUAAAUCUGUUGACUUAUUCAUAGGUACGUUGAUUGUACCUCUAUGUUGACCUUACUACAUAUGUGUUGAUCUGUAUAAAAAUGUAGCGUUUUUAGGAGAUGUUUCUGAGUGAAAACGGACCAACACUGUGCCAGCCAAAACGGACAAGCACUGUCCAGCCAGAUUGGACUAUCGGUGUUGCCUUUACAAAUCUGUUGACUUAUUCAUAAGUAUGAAACGGAUCAUGACAUGUUUUAUCACGUUUGACGAUCUGUACAAAAAUGUAGCGUUUUUAAGAGAUGUUGCUGAGUGAGAACGGACCAACACUGUGCCAGCCAAAACGGACAAGCACUGUGCCAGCCAGAUUGGACUAUCGGUGUUGCCUUUACAAAUCUGUUGACUUAUUCAUAAGUAUGAAACGGAUCAUGACAUAUAUUAUCACGUUUGACGGGCUGCCAAUGGCAAAUAAAAUAUGAACACACGAAUUGGCUCGGUGCGAGCCAAUCCUGCCCAUAUUGGCCUUGAGAUCGAUACGCUGGGGUGGGGUGUUUUAUUUCUUGUUGUUGCUAGUUGUUUCAUGAUUGAGUCCUCGUAGAGGCAGCAUUGGCAAAUUUCAUUUGAACAACAGGAUUGGCUCGUGGUAAGCCAAUUUCUGCCCUGAUUUCUUAUUGGUCGUCAGAGGCAUAUGCGGGUGUUUUUGUUUCUUCUUGUUGCUCCUUGUACCACGAUUAGUAUGAUGAUGAUAUUUGAGCCCCACGCAACAUAUAUCUAAAAGCAACAUUCUUUUGACUACCGCAACAUAUAUGCUACAUUUUCGUCGAUAUCAACACACUGUAAAACAUUUCUUCAUAACGCUACAUUUUCUUAGAGAUCAACACAUGUGUAUUAGUAUAUACCGCAACAUAUAUCUAAAAGCAACAUAUUAGUGUAUACCGCAACAUGUAAAUAAAAGCGACAUUCUAAAGGAACAUAUUUGUGGCUACCGCAACAUAUAUGCUACAUUUUCGUCGAUAUCAACACAUGUGUAUUACCACAACAUAUAUCUAGUGAAACAUUUUUUCUGUAAAACAUUUCUUCAUAACGCUACAUUUUCUUAGAGAUCAACACAUGUGUAUUAGUAUAUACCGCAACAUAUAUCUAAAAGCAACAUAUUAGUGUAUACCGCAACAUGUAAAUAAAAGCGACAUUCUAAAGGAACAUAUUUGUGGCUACCGCAACAUAUAUGUAAAAGCUAAUUACCGCAACAUAUUUCUAAAAGCAACAUAUUAGUGGCAACGUAUAUAAUGUAAUAUUUCUUCGAAAAGCUACAUUUUCGUUGAUAUCAACACAUGUGUUAUCUAAAAGCAAACAUUUCUUCAAAAGCUACAUUUUCUUAGAGAUCAACACAUGUGUAUUAGUAUAUACCGCUACAUAUUUCUAAAAGCAACAUAUUAGUGUAUACCGCAACAUGUAAAUAAAAGCGACAUUCUAAAGGAACCUAUUUGUGUCUACCGCAACGUAUAUGUAGAAGCUAAUUACCGCAACAUAUUUCUAAAAGCAACAUAUUAGUGUGAACCGCAACAUGUAAAUAAAAGUGACAUUCUAAAGGAACAUAUUUGUGUAUACCUAAAAGCAACAUUCUUUUGUCUAUACCGCAACAUAUUUCUAAAAGCAACAUAUUAGUGGCACCAUAUUAGUGUAUACCGCAACAUAUAUAUAAUGUAAUAUUUCUUCAAAAAGCUACAUUUUCGUCGUUAUCAACACAUGUGUUAUCUAAAAGCAAGCAACAUAUUAGUGUAUACCACAACAUGUAAGUGUUGAUCUGUAUGAAAAUGUAUGAAAAUGUGUUGAUCUGUAUGAAAAUGUAGCGUUUUUAAGAGAUGUUGCUGAGUCAAAACGGACCAGCACUGUGCAAGCCAAAACGGACAAGCACUGUGCCAGCCAAAACGCACUAUCGGUGUUGCCUUUAGAAUUCUGUUGACUUAUUCAUAAGUACGUUGAUUGUAAAUCUAUGUUGACCUACUACACGUGUUGAUCUGUAUGAAAUGUAGCGUUUUUAAGAGAUGUUGCUAAGCCAAAACGGACCAGCACUGUGCCAGCCAGAACAACAUGUGUUGAUCACACGAAAAUUAUAUAAGAGAACGUUAAUAUUGUAUUGUUUGUCCACACACCCCGCACUAAGGCACAGAGAAAACGUUGUUUGUCCUGGCACCACACACUUACAGCACAUGAAAUGACAUCACAACCAAAAGAGCAACACGCCGGCAACAGAACACUCCGGCAACAGCAAACACGCCGUGCAACUGCAAUUACAGCUCUUCCAGAACAUCACUGCAGGUCUUUGGGAACUCAGAUGUGUUUUUUGCAUGAAAGAGAAGGUAAUGCAGGACUGCAGUACUGUAUCCCUCUAAGCAGGGCUCAAAGGGAAGAUCACCAGAAAAGCACUCCAUAAAAUACAAUGCCAGUAAUCCAUUUUUAUGUGGAGUUGUCAGGUCUUCUUUGUAGCUAGGACAUUCAACAGUUCUUUCAGCAAAUUUUUGUUUCUUCCUUUGCCAAUAUUUUUCGUUUAUAGCAUUCUGUAGUGCCAUCAUAAUAGAUCUGCGUUGAUCUUGCCUCGUGGCAGCACACUUUUCUCGCCCUCGGAAGCUCACAGCAUUUGAAACAAGACUACUACCACAAUAUACAAUCCAUUCAUUUCCAUAUAACACCGGUAAGAAGAUCUGAAAAAAUAUAUAUAUAUCAUGCAAUGAAAGAUAUAGGGAAAAUCAAAGGGUUUACUUAAGUUUAAAAUGGAUUGGUUUUACCAUUUCAAACGAUGUCUGAAAUUUUUCCGGCAGUGUCUUGGCAAUAUUUUCCUUAAAUUUCACUGGGUCCUUUUCCUGGUGCAAAACAAACAGCAAGUUUUUUUUUCUGAACCGAAACCGUGUGGCAAAGCAGCCCCCCCCUGGGGCAACAAACUUAUAAUAGCCAGAGAGUUAAACAAUACUUACAUAUUCCUGCGGUGCUAAAAACAACCUUCUCCAAGCACCAUUUUCCUCAUCACACAUCAGGCAUUCAGUAAAUGCGUGUAGGAUACAACUGCUGAGCGCACCACCGGAGAUGAAUUCAGCCAUGGAAGCUGCUGUUAUGGAUAUCCCUCCAAUAGAUAUGAUCACAUGUCUGUCAUUUACAAUACGAGGAGUAUUAGAUGCACACAAGAAAUAAGUCUUCCUGCUUGUAUUAGAUAUAGUAAUUGCACAAAACAAAUUCAAGGAGUAUUAGAAGCUAAUACUUACUCCUUGUACUUCUCUGAGCAAACGAGAUCAUACAUCUUUGAGCUUAUGUUUCCAGGCGCCUUUGUGUAUCUAGCCACUUCUCGAGUUGGUCUCUGUCAUCCUCUUGCCCUUUUUGCAAGCGAUUUUUCAAAGUCACUUACUUCAUUCUUCCGCUUGUGCGAAGUAUCUUCUGCCGUAGAGAAGGAUUCAGAAGUGGAUUCUUGUUGUUCAGGGACAGUUGACACAGCUCCCCCUUGUGCAUCCAGGGCAGACCCGACAGUUGGCAUAGCUUCUCCUUGUACACUUUCCAGGGCAGACCCGAUGUCAUCCUCCUCAGCGUUGCCGCCUUCCUUGGGCUCCUUAGCAUGUUCCUCAAUGAUGGCAUCCCCCUCCCCAGUCCCCCCUUAACUCUUUCUGCCAUCAACUCCUGCUCCCUCUUUACUGAAAUAGAGAGCAGUGUAAAAAGGUACAUUAUUAAAGCACAGCAACAUAAUAAAUAGGGACAUACUUUGUUUACUGUUCGUCAGUAAUAACUGGUUAGAAACUAGGAUCAUGAAUUCUUGGCUAAAUAAGAGAAAUGAAAUGGCAUCGUUCUAAGCUAAGUAUGACCUGAAAAAAUAGUGCCACCAUGGUAAAAAGACACACUGUUAGAAAACACCAUUGGGGUAUGUACCUCUUUUCACCCUCAUUGCAUUCCAUCAUAUCCUUGUUGCUGGUCUCCAACAGCUCAGUUUUAUCCUCGUUGCUAUUCUCCUGAAAAGGGUCCUUCGCCUGGGUCUCCACAACGUCAUCCUGGCUACUGGCAGUAGAAAGAUAAACUACUUAGGAUCAUGAAUUCUUGUCUAAAAAGACACACUGUUAGAAAACACCAUUGGGGUGUAAAGGCAAUACUGUCUGUACCUCUUUUCAACUUCAUUGUGUUCCAUCACAUCCUUGUUGCUAGUCUCCAACAGCUUAGGAGGUUCACCGCACUCUGGAAUCUCAUCCUCUUUCACGGCAUCAAAUCCUGCUCCCUCCUUUUUACGGAAAUAGAGUGACAGCAGUGUAAAAGUACAUUAUUAAGCACAGCAACAUAAUAAACAGGAACAUACUUUGUUUACUGUUCGUUAGUAAUAACUGGUUAGAAACUAGGAUCAUGAAUUCUUGGCUAAAUAAGAGAAAUGAAAUGGCAUCGUUCUAAGCUAAGUAAGACCUGGAAAAAUAGUGCCACCACGGUAAAAAGACACACUGUUAGAAAACACCAUUGGGGUCUGUACCUCUUUUCACCCUCAUUGCAUUCCAUCGUAUCCUUGUUGCUGGUCUCCAAUAGCUCAGUUUUAUCCUCGUUGCUAGUCUCCUGAAAAGGGUCCUUCGCCUGGGUCUCCACAACGUCAUCCUGGCUACUGGCAGCAGAAAGAUAAACUACUUAGGAUCAUGAAUUCUUGGCUAAAAAGACACACUGUUAGAAAACACCAUUGGGGUGUAAAGGCAAUACUGUCUGUACCUCUUUUCAACUUCAUUGUGUUCCAUCAUAUCCUUGUUGCUGGUCUCCAACAGCUUAGGAGGUUCACCGCACUCUGGAAUCACAUCCUCUUUCACGGCAUCCUCGUUGCAGUAGCAUGUGUUUUCCCAGUCUGUUAACUGAAAAGGGAAAUAGAUAUCUUAUGCUAUGCUAUGCUAUGCUAUGUUAUGUUAUGAGAAUGGGAGACAAAUUUGCGGUACUUACUUCAAUGGUUUUUAAAAACUCUUCGUCUUUAGAAUUCUGUGUCAGAGUGUCGAUCAGAUCGCAACUGUAUUUGCAGAUUCUUGGGAUGAGCAGCUUGCUACAUGUCGAGUGUCCUGCCGAGCCAGCAGGACACUUGACACUGUCUAACCAAACAAUCUGUGGAACAUGAACAAAAUUCAGAAAAUAGUAGGAAACGAACACAUUUCAGAAUAGAGGACAUCAUGACAAAUAGAUAAGUUGUCUAUAAACAACAUUAUAAAUAGGAACAUACAUUGUCUAUAAACAGUGGUUACUCCAAACAGGAACAUACGAGUAAAAGCAAUACAUGAGGGUGUACCAUUGGGAGUAGUAAGCAGCCAUUCGCAUAAUCCGAUUCUUCACGUUGCCAGGCCAAAAUACCCUUCCGCAAACGAUUGAAGAUUAAACCAGACCAGUCAAUGGUCUUCAGAUGCUCAAGGUCAUGAACUGAUUUUAUCACCUCUGCGGAUGCAUGGUUGCUGGUGCUUGGUAUCAGCAGCUUGCUGAACAGCACUAUUAAAAAAAGCUUGGCAGCCAUGGUGGCAUCAACUUUGCCACCGAACUAUGGAUCAUCUGCAUGCCUAAGCACAGCUUGAAUAACAGACGGUACGAACAAUUUUCUUUUAUAACUCACUUUAUUACUGUCAGCACGAACCCUUUUAAGAGGUCGUACUUUCACCUCCUCCGGCACCUCCUUAGGCACCUCCUCCAGCUCCUCGUCGUCCCCCUCCUCCGGCACCUCCUCAGGCACCUCCUCCAGCUCCUCGUCGUCCCCCUCCUCCGGCACCUCCUCAGGCACCUCCUCCAGCUCCUCGUCGUCCCCCUCCUCCGGCACCUCCUCAGGCACCUCCUCCUGCUCCUCCUCAUCCCAGUCAACCUCCUCCUCCUUUAAAUCCCAGUUAUUGUCAACAGCAAUCUUCAAAAGAUCAAACAUUUCAUUGAAUGCCUCACGUAGUUUGGUGUGCUUGCUGCCACCCGCCGAGGUCUUGCUGACACCCUGCGUGGGCUUGCUGCCACCCCGCGGGGGCUUGCUGACACCCCGCGUGGCCUUGCUGCUCCCUUCUUCAUGCGUGGGCUUGCUGCCACGCCCGCCACGCCCACGCCCACGCCCACGCCCACGCCCGCCACGCCCGCCGCGCGUGGACUUGGUGACACCGCUGGGCAUGAGAUCCAAAAUGGUGCCAUUUGGGUUACCAACACACAAAAUAUGCCGUACACCAGAUUUUGUGAGUUCCAAUGUCUUAUUAUCCAUGGCCCAUUUAAUCAAAUUUUCGUCCUCGGCUUGCGCAGUUUUCACUAGCAUAAUCUGUAAACUUCUGCUCAUAAGUUUGUCAGGCAAAUGGCGCAGCAUAUGGCCGAAAAAGUGAUCUUUUAACAGUGAGUUUGCAGCAUUUGGCAGCAGCGCAGCUGUUUUGGAAACGGAAACUGAACAACAUCGUGUUUUCACUUCACGAGGGCCUGUCAUUAGUGCAAAACAAAUAAAUUAGUGACACUAGUGUAAGAAGGUACAUUGUCAAAACACAGUAAAUCUGCAACAUAGUAUGAAAGAAUAGAGGACAUCAAUACCAGACAAAGAAGAAAGUGUGUGUUAAUUCUAUAUUAUAUGGAAAAUAUACAUGAGAUUUUGAAAUGCAGAUCAAUACAAGCAUAUAUAUAUACCUUUUUUGGGUUUUUUGGCUCCUUUGGUGCCUUCUUUGCUGCCUGAAUCAUUGUGUGCAAAACAAAUAAAUUAGUGACACUAAUCUGCAACAUAGUAUGAAAGAAUAGAGGACAUCAAUAAUAGACAAAGAAAGUGUACCUUUUUUGGUGCCUAGAUCAUUUUGCGUGUUAGGGGGUCUCCCUUUUUGGGCUGCACCUGUCACCAGUGCAAAACAAAUAAAAUAGCAACACCAAAAUGUAGCUUUUUGAAGAUAUGUUUCACUAGACAAACGAAUGUUCCUUUUAGUUACAUGUUGAUUUUCAAUAUAUGUUGCUUUUAGUUACAUGUUGCGGUAUACACAAAUAUGUUGCUUUUAAACGAUCAACCGAGAUUUAAAGUAUACCUUCUUCAGUCUCUUUUGCCAUGAACCCUUCUUCGGUCUCUUGUGCCAUGAUCCCAGAGAGCACCUGCAGCUUUUGCUCUGAGGAUCUUCAAGACCACGACCUGCAAACCAGAUGGUCAAGUUCCAAUCUGCUGGCUCGAGGAACUAUAGGGUUAAUGACGUUUAGGGUUUAGGUUUUAGGGUUUAGGGGUUUGGUGAAGGGGUGCCAGCGCGGCAGCAGCAGAACCAGCGAUGUUCGGCGAGCAGAAGUAGAAGGGGAAGGACCAGCGCGGCAGUAGCAGAACCAGCUAUGUCCGGCGUCGAGCAGCAGCAGGUCCGGCGAGAUAGAAAACAUACCUUUGAUUGCUCGAACUCGGGAAGCGCGGCGAGGCUCGAAGUCGGGAAGCGCGGCGAGGGGAAGGGGAAGGCCGCGGUUAGGAAGCGCGGCGAGCUGAAGGGGAAGGGGAAGGGUAGGGGAAGGCCCCGGUGUAGAUUUAACACGCGGUGUUGAGGAAUGCCCCUGUGUUGAGUUUGUACGCGGUGUUGAGGAAGGGGAAGAAUCCGAAACGCGGCCCAUUUUGCAUCGGGACGCUGCAGGGUAUUAAUUGUAGACCACUGACUGUUGACAAAGCUCGGGAACACGGAACGCCGCGCUGUAGAUUUCUCACUGUACCACUGACUGUUAACUCUAAUAACGAUGUGUUGAUCUGUUCAGAAAAUGUAACAUUAGUGCUACGUUGAUCUAUGUAAAAAAUGAAGCUUUUUGGUUUGUUUAACUAACUUUGCAUGUUCCGGCGUGUGCCGAUUGCCUAAGACUUACUACUUGUACUACUCUAGGUAGGCCAUAUACUAACAAAAAUAAACACACUCUCAAGAUCAUGUAUGCUUCAAGUGCACGACACUGGAGUAUGUCGCCGCCACGAUAGGAGAACAACAAGAGGCAGGUGAGCGUCAAGGAGGAGCCGGAUCCCUUGAUCACGCUACCAUAGACCAUCUAUGCAGCACAACAUGCAAUUGGAGCACCAUAGACCAUCUAUGGAGCACAUUAGGCAAAUGGAGCACCAUAGAGCCCCUAUGGAACACAACACGCAAAUGGAGCAUCAUAGACCAUGCAUCUAUAUGGAGCACAACAAGCAAAUGGAGCACCAUAGACCAUCUAUGGAGCACAUCUAGCAAUUGGAGCACGAUAUAUAGAGCACCUAUGGAGCACAUCUGAGCCUCCACGGAGCAAAUGGAGCACCAUAGACAUAGAUAAUCUAUGGAGCACAUCUGACAAUUAGAGCACGAUAGAGCACCUAUGGAGCACAUCUGGAAAAUGGAGCACCAUAGAGCCCCUACCGAGCACACUAGGCAAAUGGAGCACCAUAGACCAUCUAUGGAGCACAUGUGGCUACUGGAGCACCAUGGAGCCCCUAUGGAGCACUUGUUUUCUUUUAUGUGUUAUAUUUUCUACUCGUUUCCUUAACCAUACUUAACCAGACCGUAUGUCCUUAACCAGACUUAACGAGACUGUAUGUUCUUAACCAGACUGUAUGCCCUUACUGUAUGUUCUUAACCAGCCAAUAAAAGUGCGUGGAGUGACUCCUGCACUACCAGUUCUAGCCCUCCGAAUCCUGACCUCCCCCAAGUAUCAGCCAACCCUCCGAACCCUCCACAGGGUGUGCCGAGGGAGCUGUCCAUGGCCGGCCCAUUGGAGAUCGGCCCAUACGCGCCACCUUCUCGCCACGGUUAAGGACAUACGCGCGUCAUUAUGGGAACAAGUACACCAUAACAACGUACCUAUGUGCAGACUAUAUAUGCGUGCAGGUGCAGUGCACACACACGUAUAUAUCCACGUACACGUACACACGAGACCGUGCCCAUGCACACACAUUCACGUUAUUCACGUACACGUACACGUACAAACACAACACGAGCGAUUCACAUGUAUACACGCUAAGCACACAUGCACAAAAAUAUAUCAAACUCUAAAGAUUACAAAAUAAAAAGAUUUACCACAGCAACAGCAAAUUUGCGAGUACCACAGCAAAUUUGCGAGUACCACAACAAAUCAAUUAAAGCCCAUCGAAUUAAUCUUCUCUUCCUCUGAAUCAAAGCUCUUGUGUUCUCAUCUUCUAAUUGAAUAUCGCCAGUCGAAUGCGUCUCCUCCUCGGCUCCUGUGGCACCACCACUCACGAUCCUUAAAACCCGUGGGCGAUACCCCUUCACCUCCUCCCCCGUGCAGUAUAGUAUAUUCCAGAAUACUGUGUUUGCUAAGGAAUCGGUGUAUCUCAGAAAUUGGGGGUGUGAACCCAGAUAGCUGGUGUUGUUUCCUAGAAUGGCAGAGCUCGUGGGCGGAGAGGCAGCUUGGCGACGGCGGUUUAGCGGGGCUAGGGAUUUGGAGAAAUGUGGGGAAUAGAUGAGUGGCCGAGGGGGUGACGAGGGAGUGGGGUUAAUGGGUACAGUAGCGGUGUUUGUGGCGCCUAUUUUUUUCGGGAUGAGGCAGGGAAAAUUUUGGCGCCCUAAUCUAAUGUCUUUCGGGUAGCCUUGAAAGUAUAAGUAAUACAGCGCACAAUAACUAACAAAAUCACUUUACUAGUUCAUUGGUAAGACACUAUGUGGCACUCCAUAAGUUCCCAGGUCGAACCCAUUGGAGACAAAUUUUUUUUUUCUCUUUUGCAACAUUUUUUUUCUAUUUCUCGAAGCUAAUUUUUUCAUGAUAAUUAAUUAAUUAGUACUAGCUACAUAAAUCUUCAAAUAUUCAUGGACACUAUUUUGGUGUAUGAUCAUGACAUAAAAUUUUCAGAGAAUUUUGACAAGGUUGUACUACACAUCUUGUACAACCAUGAACAUCUCUCACGAAGUGACAAGGCUAUAUCUGAGACACAUGUAUCUCAUAGCGAGGAUGUGCAUGAGCACGCAAUGAUAAUUAGUUGAUUCUUUUUUGUCAAUAUUAUACACCAAAGUGAGGCGUCCAUGCAAGUUUGUAGAAUUUUUUAGCUGGACUAGGGUAUUUUAACAUUUAUCUUGCACAAAUCUAACAAAAAAUUAUACAAAUAGGCAAAGAUGGACAGAAAAUUGCAUAGAUGUACACAACAUCAUAGUUCGCUCUAUAAACAUCCCAUAAAAGUUUCAGAGGAUUUUGACAAAGUUGUACUAUACAUCUUGUACAACCAUGAACAUCUCUCACAAAGUGACAAGGGUAUAUAUGAGACAUAUGUAUCUCCUAGUGAGGAUGUGCAUGACAAAUAAGUAAAAAUGUAUUAAGAUGUUUGAAAAUGAAUGAUGUUACUAAGUAAUAACAUACUAACUAAAAAUCUAAUUAAAAAUGAUGUUAGAGAAAUUUAAAAUUAAAAUAUAAAAAUUGUUGGAAAACCAAAAAAAGCUGCCUUGCUACAGGUUCGAACCCAGGAGCUGGAGGCCGAAGUCGAACAGCCUUACCUUUGCGCUAAUCAUGUAUUUUCUCUAAAAGUGGAGCGUAUUUGUACUUGAAGGAGAUGCCGGCGCGGGCUUUGAGGAAGAAGGCCGCGCCGACCUUGGCGGAGAAUGUCGAGCCUGCUGCGCGGAAGAAGACCGGGCCAGCGUCGAAGAAGAAGGCCGGGCUGGCUUUGAGGAAAAAUGGUGCGCCGGCCACAAAGGAGAAGGCGGCGCCGGCAUUGAAGCAGAAGGUGUGCCGCAACUGCGCUGCAGGGAAGCACUUGUGUCUCAAAUGGCUCAACGGCAACCGCGCGUGCUUGAAGGAGCUCUGCCCUUGUGUCGUUGAUGGCUGUGAAGGCGCUCAGGUAAAGUCGCAUUCAGUGCCUAAUUAGUAGUGCCUAAUUUAGAAAUUUGUAGUGCCUAAUUUGUAGUGCCUAACUAGGUUCAUGAAAUUAAAGUUAACUGAUCAAAAUGGAUGUUGUUUUGUGGCUGUGAUGAAUGGUAGGAGUUGAUUUGGAUGUCUAAAUUCGAAGUUUUUGUUUAAUUCACUAAAAUGUUGUCAUUGCUCACCAAUCCAAUAUUAUUGUUGUUGUUGUGAUUGUUUCUGUAGUUGGAAGAAGAACACGUGAUACGUCGAGAAACCUUGGCUGAGUCCCUGGCUAAUGUAGUCAGUAAACCAAUCUUGAAGGAGUUGAAGGCCCUCAAAGCAGAGAUCGCCAAACUCAAAGAACAGAUGGCCAACCUCCAGCAGUGAUGCGGUGACAGACUAAUGCUGAUGAAGACUUUUGCUGAUCUACAGAUGGCCACCUUAUAUAUGUUAGUAGGUGUAGCUAUAUAUGUUAGUUACGCUAUGUAGCCAGGUUGAACUAGGUGUGACAAACUUGUACCUGCAAUGCUCUUAUGCUUGCUUAACUAUGUAUGAACAGAUGACCAUGGUCUUUUGCUUAACUGGACCAUGUUAUGGUUAAAUGGCUAUCAUAUUUUGUGAUCAAUGGAAUUGAGUUCCCAGGCAUCUUAUCUGAAUGUGUCUGAUUUUGACUCAGAAUGUGAAUGCGUGUUUUAGUUAUAGGAAGCAGUAAAUAUAGAGAUUAUGGAUUACCUAGAUUGAUUGGUCAUCCAAUACUCUAUGCUUCUCAAGCUGUGUGGUGAACUCACAGGCAAAGGUAACAACUUGCUGGACCUGACCUGCCAGACGGUUCAUGAAAUGCUCAAGGGCCUUCGAGUGAUGGUCUAAAUGGUUGUAUUCUUUUUGGAUGUGGUUUGGAGAGGUCAAACUGAGUGGUUUGUCUGGAGUUACUAUUAGUUAAUAUAUCAAGUACUAUAUAUAUCAGCAAUCAAAAGGAUCUUAUGAAUGUUGUUUUGUCUCCAUUGCUGGUAUCAUGAUGAGUUGCUCUUGUGCUAUAUACUUGUUACCAGAAUAAAAACAAAAAAAGUGCUUCGGUGAUACUUGUUACCAGAUUGAUUGGUCAUCCAAUACUUGUUACCAUAAUAAGUUUGGCAUGUCUUAAUGCCAUCAUAGUCACUAGAAUAAAAACAAAUGUUGAGAGACUCAAAAAUGUUGAAUAUUGAUAGGCAUGUUAAGCAUAGUAUAACACAAACAUUCAAGAGGAGUUAUCCUUGUAAACAAAUCAGCACAAGUAACCGACUGGAUGAGGUGUUGUUUGUUGUUAUAUGAAGUGUUGCAAGGAUCAUUCAAAGCACAAAGACUGUCAUCAAAAAUAAAUUCAGCACUUGUAUCAACAUGAGUUCCGGUCAAAUCAGCACAAAUGUUUUGGUUAUGUUUUAUUGCUGAAACAGUGAUAUCACAAGUACUCAGUAUGUGUUGAACAUACAGAUUUGAUUUAUUUUUCAUGUAUUUUAAAUCCAAUGAUUCUACAUGUACCAAGGUUUGAAUCUCUGAAUUUUUAACUUCAUUGUUGAUCUUAGAUGGUUUUGAUGAAUUAACGAAAGGGUUGAGAAAUGUGCAGCCAUCUCUAAGAUGUAUGAGCAUUGAAACAUAAUGCAUCGUAUCACACAUAUGAAUGCAAAUCAUCAUGUAUAUGAACCACAUCAAACCAUAGAAAAGAUCAUGUACGAUUGAACUUUGGUUAUCAACUUGCAAAACUUCAGCACACGUGUGAACAUGUGAAAUAAUCAAAUCAGUGCAAAUAUUUCGUGUAUGGUUAAUCCCAUUUGAACCAUGUGUAUUAUCAUAAUUAUGUGCCAUUUUAUUUUGCAAACUCAAAUCUGAUUUAUUUUCAAUAACUUUUAGACUUUUUGGUGGUGCAAGUACCAAUGAUUGCUCCUCUGAAAUCAUACCGUUAUCCAUUUCAUGGUUCAGGUUUUGGGCAACGCAGAAUGGGUUUAGUUGAAUGGCUACCUUCUCAUUUCUCUCAACAAGUAUGGUGUUGUCUUGAGCAUCCAUCUCUUCCCUAUUCUCAUCACCAACCUGCACAUUUGGAAAGACAAAACUAGAAGUAGUGAUGAGAGUGUUAGUUUCAAAGAUAUCCUCACUUGGCCUGCAUUCUAAAUAUCUACCGACAUUAUAUAAUCAUAACUAAAAAGAAAACUAAUGAUGAUACUCAAUUUAUUAGAUAAUUUAAGAACCAUGCAGUCAUCUUCUUAUUUCCAAACAAAAAAUUGGAGAACAUGUAAAUAGAUGGAAAUUAAUUGAAAAAAGUUUUUUUUACCCGAAUAAUUGAAAAAAGUAGCUCUAGAAUUUAUAUGUAGACAAUUAGACAUUAAUCAGUUUUGAUUUGGGACCAUAUAUAUGUCCUAGGUCCGUUUCACGUACCGUUUAUAGCCGCACAUUUGGGAAUGUGACUUCCUUGGAACAGCUGACGAGCUGUAGAUAGAGGGAGAGGUAAACACCAUGGAACUCUCUUCGUCUCCAUGUGGGUAGCAGCGUACUCUCCAUAAUUGAAGCUUAAUGUGAAUCAAAACGACCUAGUAAAUUUGGAUCUCAGUGCAAUGGAUAGACCUUAGUACUGUGCAAAUCCACUGUCCAAUUUCACUUAUAAGGAGAUGAUAGGACAAAAACGAACCCAUCACCCUUAGAUUGGUCCAGUUUUUAAGGGAAAAAACGAACCCACCCUUACAAUUUUAUUUAUUCACCCCGAUAGCAAGGCCUUACAGUAGAUAAUAUUGAAUGAGGAUGGUAACCAAAAUGUGGCAUGCUAGGUAACCACUCUUAGUUUAGCAUGCAAAGUAAUACAAGGGAUAACAUGUUCUAAAGGGCCCCCCAAUUUUGAGUCUUGUCUAUCUUCCACUUUAGCACUAGCUGAAAUGCAGUGACACAUCCAAAAAAAAUUGUCAGGUUUUUGCAUAGAAAUAUAUCAUAGUGGAUAUCUGAUAAGUUUUACUUCUCAACCACAGCUCGCAGGUCAUCACAAACGACACAUUGACAGUUCACAAAUGACACAUUGAUAACUCAUACUACUUAGCCUUGCGCAAAUGCAAUGCAACAUCCAAGUGCAGGUGCACAAUGCACACUAGUCAUCACAUAUAGAUUACGCGAACAUUGCAAAAUACAUCAUAGAACAUUACACAUAUACCACGUGAACAUAAAAAAACACAUAUAUAACACAUGAACAUAAAAAAAACACAUAUAAACUAUAUAAAAUAUUAAAAAUCCAACAUAGAACAUAAAAAAAAAGAAAAAAGAAAAGAAAUAAAAGAAAAGAAAAAAUAUAACAAUGAAAAUAAUUGUAAACAAAUAAAAAAGAAGUAGAAAAAUAUAAAAGGUAUAGAAUAUGAAAAAAGAAAAAGAAAAAAGAAAAGAAAAAAUACCAAGAAAAGAAUAUAAAAAAAUAUCAAGAAAAGAAAAGAAAAGAAAACUAAACAAAAGCGAUCAGGAGGGGAAAGAAAAGGAAAACAAAAAGAAACAAAAUAAGUAGAAAAGAAUAAAAUAAAAUAAAAAGGAAACAUACGUACUUACCUGAGAAAUCCGUCGUGCGUGCUCGUGGCCGUAGUGGCUUGCGUCAUCGGAAAGGAAAGCAUCGAGGGAGCAGAAAUAUUGCGCGGGAAAAGCACGAGCGGGAAUCAUCGGCGGAAAAACGGACCAACACUGUGCCAGCCAAAACGGACAAGGACUGUGCCAGCCAGAAUGGACUAUAGGUGUUGCCUUUAGAAAUCUGUUGAGUUACUCAUAAGUAUGAAACGGUAAUCUAGAAGUCUGUUGACUUACUCAUAAGUACGUUGAUUGUAAAUCUAUGUUGACAUUACUACACAUGUGUUGAUCUGUAUGAAAAUAUAGCGUUUUUGAGAGAUGUUGCUGAGCCAAAACGGAGCUAGAACGGACUAUCGGUGUUGCCUUUAUAAAUCUGUUGACUUAUUCAUAGGUACGUUGAUUGUACCUCUAUGUUGACCUUACUACAUAUGUGUUGAUCUGUAUAAAAAUGUAGCGUUUUUAAGAGAUGUUGCUGAGUGAAAACGGACCAACACUGUGCCAGCCAAAACGGACAAGCACUAUGCUAGCCAGAAUGG
rnacentral:lncRNA from 1 species